UUGAAUUCCAAAAGGAUGUUGCUGGCCUUUCGGGGCAUGUGCACUCCACCUUUUUCAAUACACCUGUGAACUUAUUGUAGGCGCAGAUAUGUUGCCUAUGUUUUUUGAUACACCCUUUAAAAAGUCUAUUGAAUGUCUAAUUGUGGCCUUUGAUGGUCAACAAACUUAAUA
rnacentral:misc_RNA from 1 species